CAGUCGAACGAUGAAGCCAGCUUGCUGGUGGAUUAGUGGCGAACGGGUGAGUAACACGUGAGUAACCUGCCCCUGACUUCGGGAUAACGCCGGGAAACUGGUGCUAAUACCGGAUACGACACGCUGACGCAUGUUGGUGUGUGGAAAGAUUCAUCGGUUGGGGAUGGGCUCGCGGCCUAUCAGCUUGUUGGUGGGGUGAUGGCCUACCAAGGCGGCGACGGGUAGCCGGCCUGAGAGGGUGACCGGCCACACUGGGACUGAGACACGGCCCAGACUCCUACGGGAGGCAGCAGUGGGGAAUAUUGCACAAUGGGCGCAAGCCUGAUGCAGCGACGCCGCGUGAGGGAUGACGGCCUUCGGGUUGUAAACCUCUUUCAGUAGGGAACAAGGCCCCUUGGGGUUGAGGGUACCUGCAAAAGAAGCGCCAGCUAACUACGUGCCAGCAGCCGCGGUAAUACGUAGGGCGCAUGCGUUGUCCGGAAUUAUUGGGCGUAAAGAGCUCGUAGGCGGUUUGUCGCGUCUGCUGUGAAAACGCGAGGCUUAACCUCGCGCCUGCAGUGGGUACGGGCAGACUAGAGUGCGGUAAGGGAGACUGGAAUUCCUGGUGUAGCGAUGGAAUGCACAUAUAUCAGGAGGAACACCGGUAGCGAAGGCGGGUCUCUGGGCCGUUACUGACACUAAGGAGCGAAAGCAUGGGGAGCGAACAGGAUUAGAUACCCUGGUAGUCCAUGCCGUAUACGUUGGGCACUAUGUGUGGGGCCCAUUCCACGGGUUCCGCGCCGCAACUAACGCAGUAAGUGCCCCGCCUGGGGAGUACGGCCGCAUAACUUAACUCAAAGGAAUUGACGGGGGCCCGCACAAGCG
rnacentral:rRNA from 1 species